UAAGACGUAGGAGGCUAGCGUUAUCCGGAUUUACUGGGCGUAAAGAGGGCGUAGGCGGUCUGGCAAGUCGGAUGUAAAAUCUCUCGGCUUAACCGGGAGGGAUCAUUCGAUACUGCUGGGCUAGAGGGCAGCAGAGGGAGGUGGAAUUCCCGGUGGAGUGGUGAAAUGCGUAGAUAUCGGGAGGAACACCAGUGGCGAAGGCGACCUCCUGGGCUGUUACUGACGCUGAGGCCCGAAAGCGUGGGGAGCGAACAGGAUUAGAUACCCUGGUAGUCCACGCUGUAAACUAUGGACACUAGGUAUGGGGAGUACCGACCCUUUCCGUGCCGAAGCUAACGUGUUAAGUGUCCCGCCUGGGGACUACGGCCGCAAGGCUA
rnacentral:rRNA from 1 species